CCGUAAACUAUGCCAUCUAGCGAGUUUCGGGUGGUUUUUUCUUAAAUUGCCCUUGAAACGAGCUUCCCGGAAACGAAAGUCUUUCGGUUCCGGGGGAAGUAUGGUUGCAAAGUUGAAACUUAAAGGAGUUGACGGAAGGUCACCACCAGAAGUGGAGCCUGCGGCUUAAUUUGACUCAACACGGGAAAACUCACCCGGUCUAGACACUGCGAGGAUUGACAGACUGAUAGCUUUUUCAUGAUUUGGUGGAUGGUGGUGCAUGGCCGUUCUUAGUUCGUGGAUUGAUUUGUCUGGUUAAUUCCGAUAACGAACGAGAUUGGAACUUAAUUAAAUAGAUUUGUCUUUCCAAUAUUAUGGAGGCAAUAAUCUUCUUAAUGGGAUUUGCGGCGAUCCAGUCGUAAGAAACCCAGCAAUAACAGGUCUGUGAUGCCCUAAGAUGUCUGGGGCUGCACGCGCGCUACAAUGAAAAUUGCAGCGCGUGUGACCAUUUCCGGAAGGAAUUGGUAAACGAGUCAAAUUAUUCCGUAUUUGGGAUCGAAUAUUGUAAUUAUUAUUCGUGAACGAGGAACUUCAAGUAAGUCUUAAGUCAUCAGCUUACGCUG
rnacentral:rRNA from 1 species